rnacentral:rRNA from 1 species
AGUCGAACGCGUUGGCCCAAUUGAUUGAUGGUGCUUGCACCUGAUUGAUUUUGGUCGCCAACGAGUGGCGGACGGGUGAGUAACACGUAGGUAACCUGCCCAGAAGCGGGGGACAACAUUUGGAAACAGAUGCUAAUACCGCAUAACAGCGUUGUUCGCAUGAACAACGCUUAAAAGAUGGCUUCUCGCUAUCACUUCUGGAUGGACCUGCGGUGCAUUAGCUUGUUGGUGGGGUAACGGCCUACCAAGGCGAUGAUGCAUAGCCGAGUUGAGAGACUGAUCGGCCACAAUGGGACUGAGACACGGCCCAUACUCCUACGGGAGGCAGCAGUAGGGAAUCUUCCACAAUGGGCGCAAGCCUGAUGGAGCAACACCGCGUGAGUGAAGAAGGGUUUCGGCUCGUAAAGCUCUGUUGUUAAAGAAGAACACGUAUGAGAGUAACUGUUCAUACGUUGACGGUAUUUAACCAGAAAGUCACGGCUAACUACGUGCCAGCAGCCGCGGUAAUACGUAGGUGGCAAGCGUUAUCCGGAUUUAUUGGGCGUAAAGAGAGUGCAGGCGGUUUUCUAAGUCUGAUGUGAAAGCCUUCGGCUUAACCGGAGAAGUGCAUCGGAAACUGGAUAACUUGAGUGCAGAAGAGGGUAGUGGAACUCCAUGUGUAGCGGUGGAAUGCGUAGAUAUAUGGAAGAACACCAGUGGCGAAGGCGGCUACCUGGUCUGCAACUGACGCUGAGACUCGAAAGCAUGGGUAGCGAACAGGAUUAGAUACCCUGGUAGUCCAUGCCGUAAACGAUGAGUGCUAGGUGUUGGAGGGUUUCCGCCCUUCAGUGCCGGAGCUAACGCAUUAAGCACUCCGCCUGGGGAGUACGACCGCAAGGUUGAAACUCAAAGGAAUUGACGGGGGCCCGCACAAGCGGUGGAGCAUGUGGUUUAAUUCGAAGCUACGCGAAGAACCUUACCAGGUCUUGACAUCUUGCGCCAACCCUAGAGAUAGGGCGUUUCCUUCGGGAACGCAAUGACAGGUGGUGCAUGGUCGUCGUCAGCUCGUGUCGUGAGAUGUUGGGUUAAGUCCCGCAACGAGCGCAACCCUUGUUACUAGUUGCCAGCAUUAAGUUGGGCACUCUAGUGAGACUGCCGGUGACAAACCGGAGGAAGGUGGGGACGACGUCAGAUCAUCAUGCCCCUUAUGACCUGGGCUACACACGUGCUACAAUGGACGGUACAACGAGUCGCGAACUCGCGAGGGCAAGCAAAUCUCUUAAAACCGUUCUCAGUUCGGACUGCAGGCUGCAACUCGCCUGCACGAAGUCGGAAUCGCUAGUAAUCGCGGAUCAGCAUGCCGCGGUGAAUACGUUCCCGGGCCUUGUACACACCGCCCGUCACACCAUGAGAGUUUGUAACACCCAAAGUCGGUGGGGUAACCUUUUAGGAGCCAGCCGCCUAAGGUGGGACAGAUGAUUAGGGUGAAGUCGUAACAAGGUAGCCGUA